CGUAUGAUGCUGCGGCCAGCUCGUGCGCGUUUUACUGUGCGCGGGCGGCCUGUGUUCAACACAGCGCACAUCUCUGACCGGUAACU
rnacentral:ncRNA from 1 species